rnacentral:rRNA from 1 species
UGGGGAAUAUUGGACAAUGGGGGCAACCCUGCUCCAGCCAUGCCGCGUGUGUGAAGAAGGCCUUUUGGUUGUAAAGCACUUUAAGCAGUGAAGAAGACUCCAUGGUUAAUACCCAUGGACGAUGACAUUAGCUGCAGAAUAAGCACCGGCUAACUCUGUGCCAGCAGCCGCGGUAAUACAGAGGGUGCAAGCGUUAAUCGGAAUUACUGGGCGUAAAGCGAGCGUAGGUGGCUUGAUAAGUCAGAUGUGAAAGCCCCGGGCUUAACCUGGGAACGGCAUCUGAUACUGUUAGGCUAGAGUAGGUGAGAGGAAGGUAGAAUUCCAGGUGUAGCGGUGAAAUGCGUAGAGAUCUGGAGGAAUACCGAUGGCGAAGGCAGCCUUCUGGCAUCAUACUGACACUGAGGUUCGAAAGCGUGGGUAGCAAACA